rnacentral:misc_RNA from 1 species
GAUGAAGAACGUAGCGAAAUGCGAUAAGUAAUGUGAAUUGCAGAAUUCAGUGAAUCAUCGAAUCUUGAACGCAUCUUGCGCUCCUUGGUAUUCUGAGGAGCAUGCCUGUUUGAGUGUCAUUAAAUUCUCAACCGCACUGACUUUGAAUUGGUGUGGCUUGGAUUUGGGGGGAAAAUUGUUGUGGGCUUUUUUGUAUAGUCUGCUCCCCUGAAAUUGAUUAGCGGUACCUUUGUGGAACUGUCUACAGGUGUGAUAAUUAUCUACAUCCUAGACAUCUGCUGGAAUGCUGCUUUCUAAACCUUACUUGUAUUGACAAUCUUGACCUCAAAUCAGGUAGGACUACCCGCUGAACUUAAGCAUAUCAAUAAGCGGAGGA